CUUGUUACCAAUCCUAGGAAAGAAAUUAGUUGAAGCAGAAUCGAAAUUCUUAUAUACCGAUAAUGCCCAAUUCCAAUCACCCGUUAAAAGAAAGGGAGAUGGAAGGGAUUUCAAAUGGGUAUAGGUUGGCUGAGAGAGAGAGAGCACAGAUGAGGGUAGAGGGCUGCGGACAUAGAAAGAAAAAAGGGCAGCCACUAGAGAGGAAAGAGGAUAGCGGAAAGAGAACAAUGAUAUAGGGUACAGGGUGGAACAAUGAUAUAGUCUGGGGCAGCUCACAGAGAAAGCAGAUGAUAGGGCACCCGACAGAGAACAAAGGUCUUUUCGAAAGGAAAGGAAAGUGGAAGUCCAGAGAAAAGCAGAGAUAGAGAGAGGGCGGGUAAUCAAGAGAAGAGAUAGAGGUUCGUCGUUCAUGGCGUUAGUCCAAUGUUAAUAUCAAACCUCCUGUUUACCUUCCCUUGUUUCAUCUAUUAAGUCGACAUCGACAAGAUCUGUAUAUGAGGCAGCAAGCGGGUGGUAAUAUUCCUCUACCAUGGAUACUUUAGCUCGAAAGAGUGGAAUCAGUUCCUAAAGUUUCACAGGAGCAGUUUCAUCAGUUAGUAGAGCAGGAGCAGAAAUCCAGGAUAGUUCUUUAGCUAAGCAAGAAGGAGUGAAGUCAACCACCCUUGUUUCAUCCCGAGUUGCCAGUACAGGCCCAACAGAAUAAGUUAUGCCAGUGGAAUACCAAGUGGAAUCCGUUCUAUUAUAUAAGAUGUCAUUUACAAAAGAUCAGUGGUCUAGCUUUGUUUCAAUUGAAAGAGAAAGAAAGGGCAGGGAAAACUCCUUAGCAACUAGGCCUUAGCAACAAGUAUUGAUUUGACUCCGCGCUUCCAAGACUAUUGAACUCAUAAGAAACAACAGUAAGGGAAUGGAUAUGACCAAUAGCAACAAGGCAUCUAAGACAACUCAGUAUAUAACUUCACUCCUUAGCUACAUUGCUUCCAAGACUAUUUCAUAAGCCACUAAUAGGCAAGUCAGUAUUAACUCAGUAGCUACAGAAGCAACUAAUAGGCAAGAAAGAAUAUAGCUACUUAGUAUCCAUAGCAACAAGGCCUUAGAUAGCUCUUACUGAGCACUGGUAUAGAAACUACGUAAAUACUGGCAAACUGGCCUAUAGAGUUCACUGCUCGCCAACUAAUCUAGGUCUUCUUUUUGAUCCUCUUUCUCCCAUGCUUCCUGUAUGACCAAUCCUUUUCUGGUUUGACUUAUGGUUUGUAUGGCAGCUACCACUGUACCUCCAUUAAUCUUAAGGGUUACCUUCUUCUCUACAAUGUAGUAUUUACUAUCAUCACCCUAACCCCGCGGAGAGUCGAUCCACUCUUCUAGCUUGGAGGUUUCCUUCUGUGUGUAUGUUAAGUCCAAAUUGUUAGACACCUUUCACCCUUCUAUAUGAGCUUGUACCGGCCAUGCCGCAUAAUAUGCCAUGGCUUUCAGCUCCUCUAAGUCAACUCCUUGAGUAUCCUGCUCAGUGAGUUUAAGCCAUGCUUGGGUGUCAUCGGUUGCCUUCUCCGGCAUGAGCCCAAUACUGAAAGGUCUCCACUGCCUCUGGUAAGUAUGAAUUCACUUCCAUAGCAUCCCCUCUUCUUUCGGCAGCUCUAUCUUAAACUGCUUGGUGCUUUUUAGAGGUACGAAGGCAAAUUCGAAGAGUGAUAGGUUCUCACCGUAUGCACGAUCUACUGGUUCCUAUGCAAGACGAUUGGAGCACACUUGAUCUAUACCCCCCUGAGUGUUAAAGUGUAUGUACUCAUGAACAGCUAAAGCGCUCUUGGCUACCUUGCAAGCAACUACUGCUUUAAAGCUUUGUUUACUAUCAGUAGUGAGUAUUGCCCUAUCGCCCGGCUCUAUUAGUCUCUCUUCAUCUCCGAGUUCAUAUGCUUUCCUCAUUUCGUCGAUUAUUCGUGGAGGGUUUUCUUUCCUUAUGCGCAUCUGUAUCCUGGCAUACUCCUCAUUAUAUCCAAUGGGAAUGCUUUUGGCCUGCUCCCACUGCACCCCUUUCUGGGCGAGCCUCCUCUGUAUGCAUCCCCACUGCGUUGCAAUGAUCCUUUCCGGCUUUAAUGAGGGUAUCCAGCUGGUGAACCGUAACCUCAUGAAUCUUUCGUGUCUCAGCGUGAUAUGCUCUUUGGCUACAAUAAUACUAAAACACUGUAGAGCUUUAUCUAUCCGUUGAGCUAUUUCUUAUCUAGUUAUUGCAGUUCUCUCCUUGUUGGCAUCAGCUCUGGAUAAGGUUAAUCAAUUAUACUUCCUGAAAUUGGACUUCUUAGGAGUUUUAUCCGCAGAGUUGUUCAUUGCCUGCACAUCUUCUGUUCUUCUGAGCUGGUCUACUACACAAGUUAUUGAGCUGCUUUCCUGCGGCAGCUCUCGCGUGAUAUUCCCCUCGUUACAAUUGGUAGGCUCGUUUUACUUACUUUGUUGACUUACUUGUUAGGGUCGGGGAAAUUAGUAGAUUCCCACUUGAGAGAAAGAGUACUGUACUAGGCUCAGUGUUACCGGAUUGGAUGGAUUCUAUCUUACCUGCUUGUGAGUGGAAUUCUUAGGGUUAGAUCAGAUCCCUUAGUUUCACAUUCCAUUCUCAAUUCCUUAUUUAGGGAAAGAGCAUGUAGGUUAGGAAGAAAGAGCGAGCAAGCAACGAAACGGUCAGUGCUUAAAGAGUUUAGGUUUGAAAUAAGUCCUAAUUCCGCAAGUCCUGUUUUUCGCCAAAACAGUGUAGGGCCCUGCGUAGCGAUCACUGAACGAUUGAUUCCAAUUAGAAUUAGACUCUUUCAUUAUGAUGGAUUAUUAUACUCUUCAUUAUGAUAGAAUAUUCUGGGUUCUUGGAUUAUAUAGAUGGUGGUAACAAUGAAGCGGAUUCUGAAUCUUCACCUUUAAAAACAGUGGUUUAGACCUUACACGGACCUUCAUGCCGCAUCUCAUCUAUGGCUUAGUCUAGUCCUUACUAUCUUCCUUUCCCUCUUGAGUUUCAAUGCUCAGCUAGAUUUCCACGUGAAGCCGUGCUAUACGGGUCAAAUUCCAGAAAGACUGGAAGGAAAUAGGAUUGAAGACAAUCAUCACGGUGUUUUAGAAAUACUAUUUCAAUUGACGUCUAUUAGAAAGAAAUACUAUUUCAAUUGACGUCUAAUAAAGGAAAAAGAAAAAGGAACUUUGACCGCUAGGAGAAAGGUAGCUCGACUGUGACAGCGGCAGCAGAGGUUUUUCUAUGAGUGAGUACCCGGGGGUUGGAUCCAUGCAGUCGAAGAUCACUUAGAUUAGGACUGCUUCAAUUGGAGACAAAGUAUCUUUACAAGGAACCUUAUUCUUCAAUCGGCUGGAUCAACAUCGAAUCACUGAGUAGUUACCACUGGGCCGACAUCAUAUUCUAACGGUAUGCUUCCUGAUGAAGAGCAGCGCUCGCUUUCAUAAUGAAUGAGACUAAAAGAAAGGAGCUCUGGACUCAAACUCUUUAAGCGGAGGCAAAUAGUCGAACAGGUUCGCAUGCAUAGAUCCCCAGCUAACUCCAAAGAAGACCUAGUAAUUAGUUCAUCAAUUCUUAGAGAAAUUCAAGGUAUAGGCUCCAUCCGAAAAACACUCUUUCUUUCAUUAAUGGCAAUGCAACUCCAUGGGCUUACCCUUGAUGAUGCUUAUGCAAUUGAAGAACGAGCUCAAGAUAUCGAUAUCUUAGAUAGGAUAGCAACUCCCAUGUAAUUGGUUGAAUGUGCCAAGACGGGAACUAGUGGUCUGCUUGCCAAGCCUGUAGCAAGUGGGCCUGUGAUGCUUACUUUCAGAAUGUAACUAGUAGGUACAAGGCUUGAACCGGGCAGCUAAGGUCUCUAACAACUAACUCUAAGCCUGAAAGCAAGGGUAGCCAGUAAGGGUAUCUAUUCUCUGAUGAGCUAGGAGAACUAAGCCUAGGAAUAAGGAAUUGAAGAGCUACCGAGCGACUACUAGAGUGGAAAGGUCACUUUAGUGCUAGUCUAGUCAAGUUGACAUAGGUAUUAAUGAAGCAACUAAGAAUAGGGUAUGAUAAGAGGGAUAGAUCUAGCUACUAUUAGCAUUUUGAUAAAAGAGGAAAUGGGGCAAGAGUGAAAAGAGACUUACUGUUCUAGGUAAAGUAUCAAGUUUCGUUCCAGCAGGUAAGCAGUGAGUUUCAAAGGUGUUAGGUAUAGAAUGAGUCAAUAUUCUCACUUACAUAUAUAAACAAGCAUGAAAUGAAAUGCGGAUGGUUAGGAUGCUGGCGCUAAUGACUAAGGCUUUCGGGGCCCUUAUUGUAAGUUUGCUCAAACAAAAGCAGUAGGGUCGAACAAAUGACUUUUGGAUGGGUAGGCUCGGGAAGCAGUUCAUAGUUUACAGAGAGGAGCAAGAUCAGAGGAAUCUUAGGGAUCAGUAUAAGUAGAAUGCAAUGCAGCAGGAUCAAUCAGGUCCAGACUAAGCUGAAAGAGAAGGGUACACAUAUAGCGCAUGAAACUAUCAAGUCAGAAUUGAGUAUUGAACGGAAACUCUCUAAUUAAGGAAUACACCUAAACCCUCUGUUCCCGUUAGCCCGGAAUUAGAUGGAACUGAUUUCACUGAUGUUAAUGGCGGUAGCAUAAGUAGGAAGUAGCCAAGCAACGACUAAGUCCUUUGUUAGAGGCUUUGAAGCGGGUAUCUCGGGCGAAAGUAAGCUACCGGGCGAAAGUCUGCUACCAUUGCAAAUAAGACCGACCCUGCUAACUCGGAAUACAGAUGCAGAAUGAACUGUUCUGGUUCUAAAGUCUGGUGAGGAGAGGUAAGCUAUGAAAUUGUAGUGGAGAGUAGCUAGCCUUAUUCUUGUUGGUAGAAUAGAAGUAUAGAGGUCGGGGCGGGGAAGUAGGAAUAAGAGAAGAGUCGAGGUAGUCAAGCUAGUCCAGAGGCGAGGUCGGAAAGUGUAGUUUCGAGUAGCUAGUCCUGUAGUGGGCGAGAGGGUAGUUGACUUACCGGUAGUGAACUAAAGAAUAGUGUGGACUAAGUAGAGGCCAGGUCAGGUCGAGUGGAAGACCUGUAGUACUGUUCUGGUUCUAAAGUAAGGUCUAGGUCCGAAAGUAAGAUAGAGUUAGUUCGGGUCGGCUGGUUUACUUACUUGUUAGGGGCACUGGUUUCGGUCUGUCCAGCACUGGUUAGAGACCCUAACUUCAUGAAGAUUGGCUGUGGAUUCAGUUGUUUUCUUAUAUAUAAUGAACCGCCAAGACACUACUAAUGUGGCGCGGUAGCGAGCGGGAAAGCGUCAGCAAUAAAUAAGUAGUUAUAACAUAGUUAUAACCAAGUCCUUAAUCCAGCAUGGCGGUAGCGCUGUUCUCCCUCCAAAGAAGGGCUCAGGGUUACAGCCGCGGAAAGAAGCCCAACUCCAUUAAUGUGCCCAGCUGCGCCAGUCUAAAGUAUAAUGCUACUUAAGCGUGUGGUGACUCCUCCUUCAUUUCUAUCAUAUUUGAACUUAUUGAACUUAUUCAUAACUAUUAAGGACUGUGACUUUAACACAUGAACUCUUUCUAACGCACCCCGAACUCCCUUUAACAGACAGAGACCUUUUGUCCUGCUCGAGCUUUGUAGUAAAGUGGAGUUUUGUACUGUUUCAAGUGAAGUAUAAAGAAGACAGAAUGCGAAUGCCCAGCUUAAUGCUAAAGGCCCCUACUUACUUAAUACGCAAAGAAAUAAGUGUUCUCAUAGAUAGAAGAAGCGGUUAAGGCCCACUACAUGCUUCAUGCUAAAGUAUCAAGGAACGGUUGCAAAGCAAAGGGAAGGUAAGGGAAGGGAAGGUAAAGCCAAGCACUACAAGGGGCUUAAGAAGGACAGCCAUCAUCAAAGUCAAGUUCAAAAGAAAAAGGUUAGAGCUGCUCCGUUAGCGCAAGUCAGGUCAACAGAGAUGAAAUAUAUGAACAAUUCAAUGAGAACUUUCGAGUGGAGAGUCCUGAGUUAAGGGAAUAAUAAAGCGCAAGCAAGUCAGCAACAAACGGUUUGGUUUGAAUGGAGUACACAGUUUUCGUUUUGUCAACGAGAUCAUCAGUUGUGCGGUAUCCAAAGUGUCUUACGCGAGUCCUUAUUUAGACAAAAGCAUUUCAACAUUAGGGGGCUUUAUAGGGAAUUAGACAUAAGAAGAGUUUUACAUGGGUGUUACGACGAGAAUGGCCAUAUUGUCUUUCUUUCUGUUCGAGGGAAGUCGUAGAGAGAAGAAUCCGCUGCUCCUCACGCGCUUGUUAAAGAUGCAAAUGCCUAUAACGGUAUAGAAGAAAUAAGUAAUAGGAUACCAAGAUUGAUUCUCUUUUCACAGUCAUAUGAUACCAAACCCAUGAUUCUAUUUGAGUGAAAAACGAAGAUGCCAUCGAUUCUUAAAAGCCGAGAAUAAGCGGUUCUUGUGUUGGCAACGAGAGAAGAAUAGCCGGUGCGAGGAAAGGAAACUCUAGAAUGGAAUUUACAACUAGUACGGACGCCAUGUUUCAUUGGAAAACUCCUCCUCUGGCAAAUGACUGAUUGCAACUAGGAACCAAUCGGACUUGAAACUUGCAAUAUAGUAGGGGAGCGCAUUAACCACAAAGCAAAGUAGUAGCUUGUUCAGUGCAAAGUCCAAAGUGAGAAUCGAAUUGAAACUAAUCUAUCUCGCAACUCAUCUAUCUCCGCAACUAAUAGAAUUGCUCUAUCUAACCUCAAAGCUAGUUCUUUCGCCGCUGCUUGUUGAAUCCUCAAUGCUUCCAUUUUGUCCGUCUAUACCAAACCUCAUUGCGCUUGUUCCGUAGCUUGGACCACAACACUACAAGGUGAAGGUUAGGCUUGAACUAAAUCUUUCUAGUCGUUUAACUUAUGCCUAUGCCUCUGUUCCACUCCUACUAAGCAAAGCGCUAAUAAAUAGAAUAGCUCACUUCAGUUCAGGGGAUAGAAUAGCUCACUUCAGUUCAUGGGUCAAAGGCAAAACAAGGUCUUUGCGAACCCUUAGCUUAGUGCCAGCUCUUGGGCAAACAAAGUAAUCUCCAGUAAGAAAAGAAUGACAUAAAGAAGAAUAAGUAAACAUAGUAUAGAAAGAAAAAGGUAAUAUAACUCUCCAGGACAACCGCUACGUCCCUUUCUUUUGCUUCAAAACGACACACCCACCGUUUGACUUGAAUAGAAGAUUCGGCACCCGUUAAAGUGCACUUAGUCUUUAGAACUUCCUAACACGCGAGCUACUUAACCCGGGGUUGCUUGUUCAUCUCGCACACAGGAAUUUCAACACCACUCUGUUAGCGCAACUCAUUCAUCUCAAUUGGACUUUCUCGCCUAGUAAAUAAGAUAUGAUGAUUUUGAGGAAUAUCUCUGAUGAAUCUUACUUGCGCCUGCAUCCUUACUGACCCGACCUUAACUCUAUCACUUGUUCUUGCACCGCUAUCCCAAUAGACUAUCCAGAUGGAGCUUGCCAUUCCUAUGUCUUUACUUACCGCCUGCCUUAUCUAAGUCAUUCCCAUCCGACAUUCCUAUGUCUUUACUGCUUUAUAUAAGUAAUUCCCGUCCGACAUUCCUAUGUCUUUACUGCCAGAGAUCGGAACCUAACUAUCCAAACUCUAAGUGUUGGAGGGAAUGAAAUGAUCGAGUAAAAGCUGUUUAGCGGUGGAAGUAGGCUUGUAAUAACUUAGUCGUGUCCUCUUGCUCGUGAGCUUGGCACAGGUUGCUCUUAUUGAGGGGAAGGGCUUUGAAGCGGGGGCCAAGCAACUUCUACAAACGGCCAAGCAACUACGUAAGUUGCGCGGCAGUCGGCCAAGCAACGAUUACUGUUGCGCGGCAGCCAAUAAGAAGUAGUGAAUAGUUAUAACCAAGUCCUUAGUCUUAGAACGCUAGUGAGUUAUGAGGAAACACGGUCAAAAAGGCAGCAACAAGAUUUCCCCUAAUAGCGAGGUCUAUUUCUAUGAUUAUUUAUGGAAACCCGUGAAAAAAGGCAGCACUGGCAUUUCCCCUGCUAACGAGGUCAAAAAGAUUUCCCAUUUGACGUUUUCUCGGGAAACAGCGCUGGCGCGUAACAUUAGUAGUUACUUGCCGGAUAGCAUCGGAGUUUCCCUUCCUGGACCGAUCCAAUUCUAUGAUCAUCUUGCGUUUUCCCGGGUUUUUUCAUUGCAAAUAGUAGAGGAGUCAUCAAUUACCAAACCUAUCCCUUAUUACCAAUUCUCUGCAUCUCUACUUUCUUUCCCACCUAACCGAGUCAUUCACUCCUAUUGAUUUCCCACCUAUCCUUCCCGAAUUAUGUAUUAGGCCUUAUCAAAAGAAUUCCACUAGCAACUCGAAACAACACUUUCCACUUGACCUCGACCUGGACCACUCCACUACACCUAUUGCUACUAAUACGGAAUUGCACUCGUAAGUAGAAGAGCCAAGCAGACCAGAGAACAUUAGUAUAUAUACCUCGGAUAAGAAGACCAGCUAGCUCCAUUCUGACUUCCUUACUACUGAUUAGUUCAAUCCUCUCUAGCUCACCUCCGAGUUUCAUUCUGUAUCUCGAUGCGGAGAGAAUCGGAAUGAUUUGGUCAGCCUGGUUUCAUCAGUAGUUGUAGUAGACAUAGGAGCGAACACUAGUGGCCCGGGCGAGCCAGCCUUAUUCUUUUAAUAGUAGCCAGCUGCAGGGCUAGUUGAAAGAAGUAGGCGUAGUCGUCCAGAAGAAUAGGAAUACUAGAAGAAGAUGUGGAUUUCCAGUCAUAGGUGUCAACGACUUACCGGUUUCAUUCUGUUAUUAGUUAGCUCAAUUCUGAGCCUUGCCAUCUCUAUUCUUUGCCUUGCCUUCUCUAUUCUUUGCCUUGCCAGCUCUAUUCUGUUACUAACUAGGUAAAUUCUGACUCUCACUGCUGAGUUGCCCUCUGCGACUUACUAGUUUGAUUCUGAGGUCAGCGAGCCGAGCCCAGUAGUAUAUGCUUACCUCUGCGUUGCUCUAGUUGCACUCUUUGACUCACCAGUUGCACUCUUGCUGGUAGUGGUUGUAGCCCGAGUACCAAUACAGAGAAUCAGCAGCCAUCGUAUCAGUCUUACUACCCUCGCUUUCAGGCUGUCACUCCCGAGUUUGAGUCUAUCCCUCCUUAGCUACAGGCUUGGAAGCAUUGGUUCUAGACCUUGAUAGCUCGCGCAUCAGCCUGUAACACCUAAGCUUCAAUCUGAGCCUACGAGCCUACGAGCAGUACUUGUUGGAGACCUGAGCUACCAAUACAGAGAAUCAGUAGCACCAGUAUCAGCCUGAGUCAUAUGAGGCCCAUUCUAUCCCUGGCUCGCUCUAUUCUAUCCCUGGCUAAGCUCCAUUCCUAGUAGGAAUAGUUGAAGCCUGUAGCUAUCUACCAUAAGUCUGAGAUGCGCAGUGAUUGGUUGGAGCCUGGUUGCUGGGUGGUUAAGGCUUAGUGCCCUUGCUUCCAUUCUUAGAUACACUGGUUUGAUUCUUGGACUUACUCGCUCCAUUCUCAGUGGUGGUGGUUGAAGCCCGAGCAACACUGGGUUAAGGCUUAGUGACAGUGGUUUUAGUCUGAUAGUAGCUAGGUCAAUGUUGCAUUCUGUAACCCUACCCUAGCUGCUUGGCCUGUAACUCACUGAUUGGGUUCUGUAACACCCGGUCCACUGCGAAGGCUUCGGUUCACUAGUGUCAUUAUGAGUAGCACUUGUUUAAGCCUUACACUACCUGGGUGAAGUCUGUCUAGCACUGGUUUAAGCCUUACACUCGGGGGCCGGAGUAGCUCUUUUCACUUAGCAGCCCAGCAGCCCCCGGGAAGUGGUUUGGUUCUGUAACACCUAAGCAUCAGUCUGAUAUGCACUUGCUUCAGCCUGGUUAGCCCUACUAGGUCUAUAUUCUUGGACUCCCCCGUUUCAUUCUCUCUUAACUACUAGCUCACCUCUCCACUUGAAUAGCUUCCCAAGCCGACCCGACCGAGUAUCAUCGGUGGACUUACUCUAUAGUCUAUCGGGGGAGCCUUAAUAAGUAGGGACUCCCUCUUUACUUUCAUUCUUUAACAAGCAUCGGAGAAUCGGUGGACUAGAAUACAUAGCUGUGCGGGCAAGACUUAAUAAGUAGGGAAUGAGGGUAAGACUUACUAAAUAGAGGCUUACUACUAACUAGUUGACUUCGGGCUUACUACUCACUCCUGACUGAGGGAAAUCGGUGGGAAAGAGAGAAGCUACUACUGGGUGCUUUAAGGCUGCUACUGACUGGUGGAAUUCUUCCCUUUGAACUUAGGGCUUACUAGCUACUAACUUAGGGCUUACUCAACACUAGUAACAGACUGAGGAGAAUCGGUGGGAAUGCGGGCAAUCGGUUGUAUUGGUGUAGUCUAGAUGCGGGCAAUCGGUAGGCUUCCUAAUAACUUAAGGCUUCCUAAUAACUUAGGGCUUACUCAACACUUUGGGCUUACUCAACACUUUGGGCUUACUCCUAGUAACCGACUCGGGCUGACUCUAUAGUCUCUCGGGCAAUCGGUGGGCUUUUUCGUUUAGUAAGUCAAGAUAGGGUUCAUUGACUUAGCUUCUUUUAAAUACUCUAAUUCCAUCCAUGUAAACAUCGAGUAUUAUGCUUUCCGCCAAGCUGCCACUCAGUUCCUAGUAGGCGCGGCUACGGGUCAAAUGCUUAAGUGUUUUCUAUAUUUACAUUCCCAUUACUUUUGAGGGGAAAGCCCCCUCUCAAACAUCAAAAUGAAACCGAUUUCUUGUAUUUAUUUCCUCGAUCGCCAACAACACCUAUUGAUUGAAAACAUAGUAUGGUGCACCGCAACACACCCGAGUAUGAUAUAUGGUAUGGUAUGAUAUGGUAUAGCACUAUGGUAUGGUACACCGGCACACAACAUAGAUAAUGAAAAGAGAACGAACGGCAGCAUCUGUUUUUUGAUACAAAAUGAGAAAGAGUAGAGCUUUGGUUUGGACUGGACUGCUUUUUGCUCUAAUUACUAUAGGCUAACUAGUAAUAAACUAUCAUCAAAUACUCAUCCAUAUUCUAUAUAUACGUGAACUGAGUCAUCCAAUUUUCGAAUGAAAUGAACAAGUGAAAAUCAAAGACAGGCGAGGCAGGCUCACAAGCAUUGGUUAAAGAGUAUAAGAUAGGAUCAGGAUCAUCAGUAAGGUAGUUCUUCAAGAUUCGUUUAGAUUAGGGAAGAAGAUAGUCGUGGAGUUCCUGUUCCUUCUUAAGCCUUAGCUGUUCUAGGUUCAUCGUGUAUGGAAGUCGACGAUAGAAGCUCUGCGUAGGCGCGUGCUCUAGCUUUUCCGUUUGCAAGAUCAGUUCUUGGCUAUUAGUAAGGAGAGUAGCCAGGAUCAUAACCCAGGAGAAGAAGAAGUGAAUAGUUUGAAGCUUAAUAAGUGAUUUUCCAUAAGAUACGUUGAACGGAGGUCAGAGGACGAGAAAUGAGUCUAUUCUUCACUCACAACACCUACUCUAAUUACCCUAAAUUCAUAUCCAAAAUGAAACGAGUAAAACUCACAUUAGCAUUUAGGUGAACUCCCGUUAACACUUAGUCUUGCUUGUCCCGCGGCGCUUGGUGUCGCGUAGUGACUUGGUGCCUCAAAAGCAGCAGUUACAGUAAGUGGAGCACUGGCUGAGUUCCCAUAGUAGUUAGCUAAAGUCUGUGAUCGGUAUGAGUUCAAGUAGGCGAUAAGGGGAGCCCGCCGGUUAGCAAGCUCGGCUACUAGACCUGUCCUAUGGCUACUACUACAUAUGAAACUACUCCACUACUUGGACAACUACUAGUUGGAACAGUCAACCCGGAUUCAGUUUCUUACCUCGCCCCGACCUCUCAACACCUUACUUGAGAACCAGAACUAGGGCUUCGAACACCCAGUCACUCACCAAAACCCGGGAUAGGAUCCUUAAAGUAGUAGUCCAAGUCGGUUAAGCUCUCAACCCUUACUCUAAGGAAGCAUUAAGUAUUUGCAGGCCCAACAGAAUCAGCUGUUUCAAGUCUUGUUUCGGGUGACAGGAAAGCAGUCCGCAGUUAGAGUUUAGUCUACAGGUGAAGAAGAAAGAGGUGUUGCGGGAAAGAAAUCCAGUAAAGACAUAUCAUUCUAAUUAUGGGCUGUCCCCUUACCUAUCUAUAUCUCAUAAGAAUGCACCCACACCUAGAAACUAUGUUCCCUUACCCGCUACACCACUACUAGAUUAUGACCUUAACCCUUUCCCGCUUACCGCUGAAAACAUCUACGAAGACAGGACCCCCCGAACUAACUCUAUCUGAAGGCCCGACCCUAACUCUAAUAAGUGUUCACCCCGACCCGACACAAGAACAGAAAGAUACUUGUAACCGGCAAGCUACUACUAGGAGCCAGAGGAGUGAGACAUAGCUUCAAUUCCACUUAAAGAAAGACUUAACGAGCAGGGAAAGGUCUUCCAUUCAGGUACUUCCAAUCAGGUAUUUGAAUUAGAUACUAGGGGAGCGGGUACGGGACUUCGGAACAAGACUUAGUUUCAAUACAGAAUUCCACUUUUUCCACUGAAGACUAAACUAGGGAUGAAACUCGCCAACCUACCCUAAUAAGUAAGUACUCUCUUUUGACUACCCUAGCCUCAAAGCCGAUACUUUCUUCUCUUCUUACCGACCCGAACUAACUCAUGUAUCUGCUCUAACAGCUUCCCGAGCCUCUGUCAACUCUGAUCUUGGAGACUUCCCCUGAACUAAACCUUUCCUGGACCACACCUUACCUUUUACUUAAAAACGAGAACUCGUAUUGAACCUAGGGAUUCCACUCUAUUCUCUACCUUUCUUACCUACCGAUCCGAUCCUUUACUGAAGUACUUAUAGCUUCAAAGCCAGUAAUUGACCUCGCCUCUGUCAACAAUACCUUAAUUUCAUUCUUAUCCUAUCACUCUGGCUUGGCUCCUCUGUAAACAAAUACUUCCUCUCCUAUUGCUACUAAUACAGAUGAAACUAAUCUACUACACCUCUGUAUAUCCCUCUCUUGCUCUUGCAACUCACCACUCGGUUAAGCCUUAGCCUUUGACUCUAGAAUUCCACUAUCUACUCUCAACUACACUUUCUACUUAACCUCAAACUCCACUUUCAUAGCUUCCCGAGCUUAGUAACAGACUUUUGGCAAUUAAUACCUGAUGUACUAGAUGCUGGCCUAGUAAAAGACUUCAUAACAAGUAACUUCCAGCCUACCCGCGCCCAGUAACUUCAUGAAACCACUACCCCUAGUUAAGGAAUUCAAUAAGAGCAGAAAUCUACUUUUUACCAAUUCCCGGUUGAAGCCUGUUUGCAAGUAGUUUGGUUCUAUCCCUUAUGGUGCGCUCUCGUACCUGUAUUCUUGACUUCCAGUUUGAUCUAUGUGGGGGGUUCUUCAUUCUCAUCAGUGGUAGUUUUGUUCUAUAAGAUAAGAGUCAUAGUGCCUAGCCUAGUCGUUACUUGUCCCCUCCGAUCCAAGCCGGUACCUACUCUUUGGCUUACCCUUUUCAUCCUUUGUAGCAGCGACUCAAUUCUGAUUUCUAACAAUCAACUGUAUGUUAGUCUUUUACUCUUCUACUCGAUACUCUGAGUCUAGGACUCACUCCCCAUUCUUAUUGCUUAUAUAAGGAUCUAGCCUCUUACUUACACCCGGCAUUCCCUAUAAGCCCACCACUCACUUAGACCAACAAGUAGAAUUCUCCCUAUCCUCUUGCAUUAUGACACUCCCUGCUCCCAAACUCAAACUCCCGACCUCGACUCUUACUUGCAAUCUUUGAUCCUAUCUCGGUGGGGGUGAGCUUAAAACCACCACUCCAAGCUUUUAGGCUUAAGCUACUGAUCUGACUUCUCUACUCGACACUCCUCUAUCUCAGGCUUACUAUCCUUUCUCUUGGUCCUCAACUACCAACUCGAACUAGGAAAGAAACUACUCGCUCUAAAACGGAAGCUACUGCCUUUCACUACGCUGGGGCUAGGACAGAACCAACUCGAAACUAGUAAUAAUGACUAGAAGGCUUCCACUCAAAAGUAAGGAUAAGUUGUCUACGGUAAGUAAAAGAAUACAAAAAUGAAGUAGUAAAUCAAAUAAGUUUGUUCUGUAAGUUGGCAUUAAUUAGUAAGGUACCGAAUUAGAACCUCCUCCCUAAAGCUCACUUCCUUCUUGGGGACCACUUGAAGUUUGCAUCUGGACUAUUACUACUAUUCUUAUUCUCCUAACCUACUGUGAACGUAUCUACUUACUGUUUGCCUAGAGUAAACGUAUCUCUUACUGGGGUGGGGAAUAUCUCCUCUCCUCUUCUCUUGCUCCGAUAACUAUGGCAACAACUACUGAUUCAAAAGGACCAGACCUCUACUUGAACAGGAGCAGGCAAUUCUCCACUACAACACUAAACAAGAAAAGUACUGGCAACCGAAACAAUACUUUAAACAAAAACUCCCGGCUAGGCUCCUAUUAACUUAUUGAAACAAGCAGCUGGCUCUUCUCUGGCUCAUAUAACUCCAUUUCUUUGAUACCUGAAAAAGGCUCCUCUCUGGUAACAAUACUAUAUUCCUGGCACUGCAGCUGAACCUUUACUAUUUGCCUACUUCCACUCAAGCUUGCUUCCUCGCCUCUCCGGAGUCAACUAAUACUUACACAUAGCUUCUUUUCUCUCUUAACUAGCACAUAGCAUCUUUUCUCUUAACUAGCACAUAGCAUCUUUUCUCUCUAACAACUACUGGCUCUGCUCUAACUGGUUCUCUGGCCUCUCUCUGCUCUGGCUAUCAUCUCAUCUAACUCUGGCAACUAGCUAAUCUCACUCUGGCAACAAUGAACUUCAUUCUUAUCCACAAACACAUAGAAAGUAAGAAAUACAUCGAGAGUAUGUCUGCUCUUAGUAAGCCCUUAACCCAGGAUCUUUAUAUGAAUCAGGAGUGGGAGCAGGAUCUGUAUCUUAUGCUGUUAUCAAGUACGGUGGUGGCGCAAGUGCAAGUACAGCAGUUUUCGUCUUCAAGUCGACCAGAGAAUGAAUCCGCAGUUCGAAAGUUGUCUACAAGAUCGGAAGCCGCAAGUGGUUAUGCAAGUGAGGGUGCUAGUGCUCUUUAUAGCCUAGUUAGUCGACUCUUAUUGCCAGGAAAGCUGUCUGCAGUGAGAGUUUCAUCCCUUGUUUCAUCUGUUCUCUUAUAUAAGUCAGUUAGUGCUUCAGAAGCGGGAAUAUCCGUUUUCUCAGAAGCGGGGCCAAGCAACUACUACAGACCAAGCUUAGUAGUUAGACCAAGUGCUGUGCCCUUAAUUCAUUUCGGUAAGUCUCUUACUUAUCAGUGAGUUGAAUUCAUUCUUUUACGAAUUACAAUAAGGGGUUGCCCUAGAUACAGAAUAGCGAUAACUAUAUUAACUCUUUGACUACGCUUAACACAUGAACUUAAGCCUACCCGCCAAGUAAGUAAACAAAGUGAGUGAACUACCCGACCCGACCUCUUCUCUUAGUUAGUAGGAUAUAGGAUUCCACUCGCCAAGUCAUUACUACAAAGACAAAGACCGGAUAUUGCUUAUGUUUCUCGGUACCAACACCCGAAAUCCUCAACCAGACUUUCACACUAAACUUCCCUUGAUGAUCCAACAAAGACAGAUGGAACUCGGAGGAUAACUGCCAACUCUCGGCACAACUUACAAUAAGGGCCUCUACAUUCCCUAUGGAUACCCUAUCUCUAAUUCAUUCCUUAUACCCUAUCUCUAAUUCAUUCCUUAUAUAUAUAUGCCCGAUCUUGAAAAGCACUCUCCGAAUACAGGACUUGGGCAUAACAGCAAAUAAUGUAUUUCUCUAUGAGCCUAGUAACUUCAUGAAACAAGUAAGUAAACUAAGUCAGUAAACCUACCCGAGCCGCCAAGACAUGUAUGAUGUGUUACUAAAGGUUAGCUAGUCAAUUGGAAUCAAACAAGCCUACCCUACCCGUGUAAUCGAAUGAAACAACUACCCUCGCAUCAAAGCCGAUACUUUAUUCUCUUCUUGACGACCCGACCUCCAGUGUUAACGUCUACCUCGAUUCUUGUUCUUCUCACUCUCUUCUGGCAACUGACAACAAAUCAUUUUGAAACGUCAACUUAGCCUCCAACUCUGCCCCGACCCCUAGUCACUUCUUUAAACAAGCCCAGCAUGAGACAGACCCCGCUCCUCUGACAACACCCACUGAUUCUACAAGGGAUUGCCAAUCUCUCUUCUCUGGCUACUCGGUCUUCCACUAGCUACUCUUAACUACUGGCAAAGAAUUCAACUCGAAAGAGCCAAGUGUAUACUAGACAAGGAGACAAGUCGACAAGCAUAUACUCAAUAAUUGAAUGAGUAGGAGCUACCCUAUUCUUCCACUUAGUAGUUCAAUUCUAAUACUGACCUUGCCCACACCUCUUUGAAGAGUAUCAGUCUUUCCUUUAGUAGCUCCAUUCUCAGUAGGAAUCGUUUUAGACCUUAGCUCCCUUGUUAUAGACCUUAGCUCCCUUGUUAUAGACCUUAGCUCCCUUGUUAUAGACCUUAGCUACCCGGUCUCAUUCUCUGUCUCACUUGUUUCAGGCACCAAGCAACUACUAAUGACCAAGGCGCUGCACCAGUUUGAUUCUUACUAGCAGUGGUUCAAGCCUGUUUCGUCCGUUGCUUGGCCUUGUGGAAUUCUGAGUAACACAGUGAAGUCAUUGACUCUAACUUGAUUCUGAUUUGUCAUAUCAACAACUAUAUCAGGCCAUACCGCUACACUCUUUUUCUGACUUGCCCAUUUCACUCUUCAAUUGAUUAUUCCGUGACUUGACCUACUGCUUCUCGGGAUUUCACCAACGAUUCUAUUACUGUUGACUUUGCUUUGGAAUCAACUAUGAAUUGUUAUAUUAAAUGACUAUGCUAUGAUUACUCAUUGGAACCAAUGGUAGUGUUCAAGUCCAGUAGUAAUAGCAAAUAGAGUCUAGUAAAACACAUGAUGAUACACGUUAAUAUAAAAGCAUAGAAACAAAUGAGAUAAAAGCAUAGAAACAAAUGCUAAUAUAAGAGAAUAUAAUAUGGAAAAGAUUGUUCUGACCCUGCAGUUUCAUCUAUUGGUUUUGUAGUGACUUGGCUGUUCCGAGCUAGGUUCUUAUUGGUUGUAGUCCCAUUCUCUUCUUACUAGUUUCAAUCUUGAGAUCAGUAGUUAUGUCUUGGACUCCCUGUUGUUAGUUUGCUCUCUCGGGGGGCUGUAGUGUUUAAAGAAUCCAAGUGAGUUGUUAGUUUCCCUUUUGCUUGUUCAAGUGAUGGUAGCACGCCCUAGUUGGAGUUUGAUGACACAAUUCCUUAUUAUGAUUCCCUUAUAUGCCCAUGGUAUUGCACUCCCUAUCACUAUAUUGAUUCUUUGACUUAGCUUUGAUUAUGAUACACACCUUAUAUUGGUACUGAUGUUAGCACCCUUGCUUAUGUCUUGAAUUAUGACUUGCCGACCUUGCUAGUAGAAUGGCAGGCUUAAGGAAAGGCCGGGUAGACUAACCUCUGAUAGGGCAAGGUCUGAUUUAGUCUUAAGAGUGGCAGGCGUAAGCGUUGAGAUGCAUAGUCAGAAUAGGGCUAAGACAAUCCAACACACACGCAGACUUCUCCCUUUGCUAGUCAUUCUUUGACUCACUUGUCCGAUUCCCCCUGAUCUGGUUUCCAUUCCCGUAUUAACCUCUGUUAGUAUUAUGAUUUUGUUCUCCCUACUUGCGUUGCUGUAUCCUAGUCUAUAUAUCUUGCCUAUUAGCCUACCCUUCCUCGGUUGAAAACCAUAUCUCUGCUUUCGACCUAACUAUCUGUCCUAUUGGUCCGCCUUUCCAUACCUAUUCCAUUGACUAUACCUUGAAUUCAGACUUGUCUCCACGCUAACUCUUCUGCAACCAACUACUGGAGUCAAACUAUUUAUUACUUCUUAGCCGGAAACUGUGUUACUAGAGAGCUCCCCUGCUACGAGAUAUCGAACCAAAGUAUGGAAUGCGGGGUAGCGCCAGUAUAAUAAAGCUACUCAUAAAAGCACUUUACUAGUAUUAAGUAACAAUAAGGCUGAUACGGGGGCCAAGCUUAUACAUUGAGUGGAGACUACUGGUUUUCUGACUUAAAUAAGUUUGCUUACCUAGUGCUCCGGCUCGCAAACGAGUCACUCAUCAUUGAACCCUGCUGUCAACUAUUGAAGUUAUGGCUUCGGAAGCUGGCUAACUGUACUUGCCCUUCUUCUCGGCUUAAAGUACAACUUCUAUAAAACAAAACAGGCAUUGACUUCUCGCUUGCUGCUGAGGAAACAAAUAAGGAAGGGGACAUUCCAUAAGUAAACUAACCACUCCACCACUACUUAAAGGGGCAAGAACUAGACUUUCAUAGCUUACCAAGUCGACCCGACCUCUAGUGUUAACCCCGACCCUAACAAGUAAGUCCACUAUCCCUCCCCUCUGUAAACAAAUACUUUGAUGGCUCAUCUACCUAUUGUUCUUUUCUACUUUCCGUAGUUGCUUGGCGGUUGUUACUUGUUUCAGUCCGAUCUUAAUCUUAGGCAGCUCCAUUCCCUUACUCCCUGGUUUCAUUCUGAUAUUAGCUAGUUCCUUUCUUGGAUUUAGUGGUGGCAUUCUCACUCACUCACUCCGAACGGUCUUAAGGCUGUUACUCACUAGGUAAAUUCUGUGACCUAUGGGUUGAAUUCUGAAGUAGGUAGAGUUAAGCCUGGUUAUUAGUGGUUGCAUUCUCAUUAAUGUACUUACAACUCUAAACUCCCCUUCCAGCUUCCUCGCCUUCUACUUACUGGCUUCAGCCUGUGUUUACUAACGCCGUUCCAUUCUUGAAUUCCUACUGCCAGGACUACCUGGUUUCAUUCUCAGUCUUACUGGUUCCAUGACUACCGAGUGGAAUUCUGUAACCCUACCUUCGAGCACCCGGCUCCUGAGGUUCUAGAUUUCUUCUUUGCUUAACAAAAGCACUGAAUCCUCUCCUUUGGCUAUCAUCUCGCCGGCAACUAAUCCUCUCCUCGGGCAACUAAGACUUCCUCGCCUCAAAGCCAGUACUCUCUGGAACUACCCGACCCUAACUCGUAUACAAGGGGAAAGCCCGGUUGAUAUAACACUAGCACCCGAACCGACCUAAACAAAUAAAGAAUUCCAAUCUAACAAGAGCAGGAGCAGCUUUUUCAUCUCUAACACCCAGCUACCCAGCCACCCUAAAAACAAACACCCAGCUACCCAGCUACCCUAAACUUUCCUUUCCACUCUAACAAGAACAGGAAGAGGAGUGGGCUCUCAACUCAACUAAGAGCCAAGUAACGUAGCUCCCCCUGCCUCUAUCUCCUCUGGCUCUCAUCGAAUCUCACACCCAAGAUCAGAAGCGGCUUUUCCAUCUCAUCCCUUAGUUGACCUUUCCAUCUCAUCCCUUAGUUGACCUUUCCAUCUCAUCUCUUAGUUGGUUAGUAACCGGCCUGGCCUCUCCUUCCUACUGAACUGCUUCCCACAAAAGUGAUUGCUCUGAGUUGAAACCUAGCUUUAUUGCUCUGAGUUGAACCUAGCUUGAUUGCUCUGAGUUGAACAAGCAGUUCCAUGACACAACUAUAGCAUCAGGCAAUCGGUGGGAAUGUAGCUACUGGCUUUAAGGCUUCGUUUCACUAGUUUGAUUCUGAGUCUACCCCGCUGGAUUCUUUACUAGUGGUGUCAAAUGCGGGGAAUCAGUGGGCAAGGGAAGAAUUGGCAAUACUAGCUCUACUCUGUCACUCCCCGGUUUCAUCCUGAUACUGCUUAGUUCCAUUCUGAUACCAACUAGCUGCCCCCUAGCUUUUAGCUUAUACCCACUAGUUCCGCUCUUUGGCUACCUGGUUUCAUUCUUCCUUUCGGUCUGUUACUACAGAGUGGAAUCCUGACUUGCCUCAUUCGGCUACUAUACAUUCAUUCUUAUCCGAUACCUCUAUCUGUUCUCUUCUCUUGCUACUACUACUACUACUAAGAAUAAGGGAUCUACUAACUGGUUCGAGGGAUGGGGGGAAUACUUAUAUAUCCUCCCUUGAACCCACCCUUGAAUUAUCAUAUAAUAAUAGUUGGAUUUCGAAAGGUUUCAUAAACCCGUGCAACUGGGCUCCUGACGCCAUGAAGACUAAUUGAACAAAGUUGCAGGAGUGGUCUUGGUCUCGGGGCUAAAUGUAGUAGGAAAACGAAUUCUUCAAUAACGCAGGGUAGGUUCGCGCAGCAGUCAACGCGCGGGCAUCAAACGGAAUUAGGAAAGUAACACAGCUAGGUCUUCGUGGACAAUCGGACAUCGACCAGGGAUUUCAUCAACAACACUAAAAGAGUGUAGCGGGCCAAGCGCCAAGACACGUAUAACGGCCUGGCACCUUGCACACAAAACACUUCAUAUGCAUUUCACCUAUCGCGUAGACUCCCUGCCUUAACUCCUAGCCUACCCGGGCUUACUUUCUUUCUACAACUACAGGAUUCAGUACAGUUUCUUAUGAUAUGGAAUCGGCCCAGUGAUAACAAGGCUUGAGCGAGUGCUUACAAGGCUUUGGUAUGAGGCUGGCAAUCCAACUACUACGAUCAGAUGCACUACCUCCGCCAGUGGAUCAAACGACUAAUAUAAGAGAAAGGAUUUACCCACCAAUAGAGGGAAUGAAACACCCUAUAGAGACUAUGGAGAGGGUGAAACCUGUGCUCCUCUUACUUUAACUCAUAUUAGGGAAUAAAACACUGCCCUAAUAGCCAAGUAACCACUAAUUAUAGGUAUACAACUCGCAAGUCAUAAUCAAACAAAGAAGUCAGAGGCAAGUACCAAUACAAAGAGUAGAACCCGCGCUAACAAGACCUAAUACUAUGACGGAAAGGAUAUAGCUCCAAACAGGGAACUCACCUCUCAGCUAGUAAUUAAACUCGGAACAGGGCUCCGCGCCUACCUACCCACCCUAGAGUUAGAGCCUUCUAAUUGACUCUUUCGUUCUUCAGUUCUACUUAUAGAGCCUGCCUGCCUGUCUAACAUUACGAAAAACGAAUCUUACUUUACUGCCCUUUAUUCUUACCUUACCGGCUAUUACCUAGUAGUGCUAGUGCUCUAAUGGAACUCUGUGGUAUCUAACUCUGUGGUCUCCCACUUGGGUACCGGUAUAAGACCUGUAAGGAUCGGACCCAUAUAGGGGAAUCACCAGACUAAAACGAAGAAUCAAGAAAUAGGAAAACCAAGUCAAAGUAGGAAACUAGGAAGUGUACUAGUAAUAUCGGAAUGUAACUCUCACACUGGCAAUAGAAUUACUGAUGGGCAAAGAUGUCACCGCUAAUGGAAAUACUUGAACUAACGCCAGCAAGGCUCGAACAGUAGCUAACGAGAUUGAAACAAGCGCUAACUGGGCUGUAACCGCUGUCUUCUAAGAACGAAAUCAAUGCUAACAAGGUUAGGAACCCGUACCAACAAGAGCGCAACCAAGGCCUCUACUACCUUAACUCAAAAGUAGGGCAGCGAACGAUGGCUACUGAGAACAAGGAUUGACCUAGCUACAACCCCCUAUGGGCGCUUCCUCAAACCUAAUCAAAAAGGCAACCCAACACCAACUGCAAGAAUUUCAUGACGGCUAACAAAACCUUACUCGCUAGCUUCAAACCAACUAUUUGACACCCAAAUCUGGCUUUACUGCCUAUAGGUCUGACUUUCCUGCCUAAUAGUAUGCCUCUCUCGCACUUCAUUCUCGAACCACUGCUUCUGAGCCUGUCCCUAUUAACCAAAAUGCUGACUACCCUGUAAACUGGCCUUGCUUAUUAGCUUAAGUCUACUGCUCGUUAGCUGCAUUCCCACACUGUUAACACACAGGUAUAACCUAACUGGCUUACUUUCAGCCCUUAGCUACUGACCUUGAUUCUUACUGUUCUUUAAUGCCUUAACUGCGGAUUCGGAUCUCUGCUUGCUCUACACGAUAUAUGAUAAAGUAUACUGGUCUCGAACCCCAGGACCAAUAGACACAAUUGAACACGGGACACAUUGACACAAAAAGAAAGGCUGUCGCUACUUACCUGAAAGCUGCCCUUGCUUUCGUUCUGUCACUACUAAGAUCAAUUCUGUAACUCACUGGCUCCAUUCCGAUACUGCUUAGUUACAUUCUGACUCCGGUGUUCCCUAGUUUCAUCCUAUCCGUUCACAUAUAUAAAGAAAAGAUAGAUUUUAGUAGGGGACAAGCCUACAAAAGAGAUAAGGGGACAAGCCUACAAAAGAGAUAGAUUGUAUCAUUGCUUAACACAAGCACCCGACCUCCAUAGCAGCUUCCCUUUCUGACCCUUACCCGACCUAUCCUCUUCAAUGAAACUAAAAGGGGUGGCUAGCAGGACCCUACAUCCACUAACUCAAUUUCAAGGGGAAAGCCCGACCUCUUCUCUAAUAAGUGUUAACCCCGAACCGAGACAAGAACGGAAAUAGUAUCUACGGAAGUCGACCUAUCCCUCGCAACAAGGUCUUCAACAAGUGCUUUCUGAGACCUAGAUGCUUACUACUGACUUCGGGCUUACUACUAACUACUUACUUCGGGCUGACUCCUUACUCCUUACUUCUGGGAAUCAGUGGUAGACUACAACUAACGGUAUUCAACAAGAACAGUAACUGGCCAAGCGUAUACUAGAUGCGAGCCAAGUCGACAAGCAAAUACUUUUUACCAGGCAAGUAACUACUAAUGUGUAGCGACAGAGUCAAAGAUGCUUGUGUUUUCCCGUCUAUUUUCAUAGCGAAUAGAUUUUCCCUCCUGGGCCGAUCAAAAGAGAUGAUCAUUUCACGUUUUCCCGUGUUUUUUGGUUGCAAUCUGAUUUCUCUUAAUAGACCGAUCCAAAAGAUGGAUUAUUUGACGAAACACGGGUUUUUUCGUAGCCAAUAGUAUAGGUCACUUGCAACUUCCCCUCUAUCCUCUACCUAAGUAAACUCAUUCCAUUCCAUUCUUAUUGUCUGCCGAUUACUACUGAGUUCAUUUAUUCCUAACAUCUUGCUGGCCUAAACUAUCAUAUCUUCACCUCUUCUUCUUGAAUUACCUGAAUUACCAAGCUAGAUCUAUACAAGAUACUACUUCGAGAGAAGAAAGGCCUGUUCGAGUGGAAGCGUUGAAUUCCCUCCCCUUUGCUCCGACCUCUCCCUUCUGUAUUAGUUUCGAAUUCAAUCUAUCUCUUUUGCCUCUGAUACUGAUCUCUGGUAAGCCAACGUCGAGGAAGAAUCAAGUACCGGACCGGAGCAUUAAGUGGAAAGUCGAGUAUGCCCAAGUGCUUUCUUCGUCGCCUGUCUUCAUUGUCUUCUCCUCUAUAUGACCAAGUGCUUUCUUCGUCGCCUGUCUUCAUUGUCUUCUCCUCUAAGUAUAUAGUGGUAAGCCAACUACUCUAAGUAUAUAGUCAAAGAAAUAAGCCGACAGACAAAAGUAUAUAGUCAAAGAAAUAAGCCGACAGACAAGUAACUACUAGACAAGACACUACUAGACAAGGCCUAAUCCACAUAAUAAGUAAUAACAAAUCCAAAGUGGAGAAUUGGUUUCUUGUUCUAAUUGUAUCUGCGUGACGCGUCAGUAAACCCGUGUCGCAGCAGGGCCGCUUGUUCAAAAGAACCCUGAUAGCAACAGUUAACUUCCUGUGCUUCUCUUGCUUCCACGACCUCGCCUCUUGCUACUAGAACCAUCCUCUUGCUACUAUCCCUCCCCUCUUGCUACUAUCUGAUAGAAUCACUUUUGAACUCACUUCCACUAUUGCUACUAUACUAUCUGAUUGCCCCAACUCUCCUUGUUGAACCAGACACAAUCACUCUCCUUGUUUACUAUGAUAUAAGGGCUACAACACUGGUUUCUGGAGCUGGAGCAGUUGAUCCGAAGUCAACAACUCAUCAAUGGAACUCCCUUCCCUUUAGCGCAACAGAACAGUGGACUUGCUCAUCACUCCGGGUACCUCAUAACAGGAGCAGCCUUAAGCUUUAUUAGCUCGAUACCGUUCAAACUAGCAGCCUGCCGCGCUACUACUUAUAUUGAUACUGAUCCUGCCGUUGCUUGGCCUCUGUCUCACUUGUUUCAGGCUUUCACUCGCUGGUUUGAGUCUUGGAGUUACUGGCUUGAUUCUUUUCCUUGAUGCCGAACACAGGACUUGGUCAAGAACCAGAACUAGACCACUACCCUAGCAACUUUCCUAGACUAGCACUACGGUUCUAUUUCUUCCCAUUUCUUUUAUUUAACUACUCGCUUCACCACCCUAUGCCUCUGUCCUAUAGAAACUAUCAACUACUCAUGAAUAGCUUACCAAGCCGACCUCCACUCAAGCUUGAACGGAUGUUAACUCUCCUUUCCCUUUCUUCCCCGACCCUACUUCUUUCUUGAGUUUGAGCACCCGAAACAUACUAUAAGGGCUUCUCUACUUCCUCUGUGAACUCCGGCUAAUCUCAUCAACUAUGGCUUAUCUCACCCAAGAGCAGAAGCGGCAGUUACAAGAGAAGAAGCAGCCCGACCCGACCUAAACAAUAGCUCUUAUCUUUCUUCCCCGAACCGACCUAAACAAUAGCUCUUAUCUUUCUUCCCCGAACCGACCUCUGCUCUGUCAACAAACACUUCCUCUCCUAUGGCUACAAAGACAGAUGCAACAGGACCAUUGCAACAGGACCCGAACACAGGACUUGGUGACAGAUGAUACCUUACCCACCAGGUGCUCUUUCUACAAAUACGGAUUCCACAGGACUACCACUUUCUACUGGCUCUGCUCUGUCAACUCAUUCAGUAAUUCCCACUUCUGAGGUUGUCUCUGACUUCCGACUUCCUCGAAUAGUCUCUGUGAACUCAGGCUCUACCGCGCUACUACCUUAGUCGUACUUACUUGCUUCAUUAAGACCUCUGGGUACAACUAUGACUUGGUUCCAUUCUUACCUUGCAACGGGAUAGGAUAGGAUAGGACUGAACUUAGGAUGAAACUCAGUAUUCCACUAAUUCCCGUUUUUAGCUCGCUACCGCUACACAUUAGCAGUUCCUUGGUGCACUUAUCUCUUUCGAAACUAAAUCCUAUAUGAGAGAAUAUAUAAUUAAGUAGGCUUUCCUCUACUUUGUCUGUACUGAAAAGGGCCAAGCAACUUCUAAUGACCGCCAAGGCACUGGGCAAGUAACUACUAACGUUACGCGGCAGCAAUAAGAAGUAUGUUAUGACGUAGUUAUAACAAUUCCUUUGUUCGGGUGCCGCGGCAGGAGCUCUUGGACUAAUGUUACGCGGUAGCGAGUUCCAAGCGGCAGCCUUCGAGUUGUUUUCUGCUUUUUUUUCAUAUUUCUCAUUGAUUGUUUUUGCAAUACCCGACCCGACCUCUAAUCUCAUGUUUGAGCACCUGACCCGACAGCAGCUUACUUAAGCCCUUCCCUACUUUCAAACUGACACUCUUUUCUUGUAUCCUUGCUUAUUAGCUAGUAGGGCCUGCCUUGCCUAUCCGUACUCUUAGCUGGUAACUCCCGCCUUCUAGUGUUUAGCUACUGAUUCGGAUUCUUUAACCGGGACAUCCUUCUUACCAUUGACAUAUAACAUUAUGAGCCUACCCUCGCUAUUAGGAUCCAGCUAGCGCUAACAAUCCUUAUCCAACCAACCUGGGCUGCUUCACUGCCCCGGAAACAACUCUUGCUUGACUUUAUCUCCACCUUUGUCCUCUUGCUUUCAUUCCGUACAUCGAGUUGGAUUUUGACUAUUGGUGCUUUUAGUACGACUUUUGGUAUUCUGUUUACUUAUAUUUACUCUUCUAUGUUACUUAUGUGUUUUCAUAACACUGCUAAUGAGGCUUAGGGCAUACAAGGACAGAGCUAUUGCUGGAAAGAAUCAAACAAGUAAGUCCAAGAAUCAAAGCAGUAAGUCCAAGGCUACAGCUACAUUCCCAAAGACUUCAACCGGGUAGCCAAAGAGCGGAGCUGCUAAGUGAUAGACUGAAACAAGUGAGUUACAGAACCAAACCACUGCCGUUUAGCUCGCUACCGUUUUAGCUCAGGCUCCUCCGCGCCACGUUAGUAGUGGCUUGGUCAUGAGUAGUUGCUUGGUGGCUAUCCGACCUCUCCUCUUGAAACUGCCAAGCUACUACUUAGUGCUUAGUUGGAGGCUUGUCUCCUUUAUUACCAAGUCCUGUGUUCGUGAGCUAGCUAGUUAUUUGAGAAUUGAAAACAUAGCUAUUGAGUUUAGGUCUUGGUACUGAGAUAAGAUACUCUGGAUAAGGUUCAGAAGCAGAAGACUAAGUUGCAAAGAAAGGUGUUGUCGGUGAAGAAAGUGUAGUUGAGUGCUAAAGUAUAGAGUAAGGGGAGCUGUACCCGGAAUAGUAGAAUCCAUGUGUUAACUGCCUUUGAUGCGAGGUAGCUUCUAGCUAUAGUUUAGGAGUGGAGUAAGAGUGCCCACGCCUUUGUCUUGCAUGCAAGUGCUUUAAAUAGCUUGCUUCUAACACGGUCCUAUGUCCUUAUUGAAUUUAGUAGUACUGGCUUUGAAGCCCUAAGUGGUAUAUUGGUUCACUUGUAUAUAAUGUUACGCGGCAGUGAGCUUUUUGAAUGUCAUUUCCACUAUGAAACUAUACACACACUUAAGAAACCCUUACUCAUUAUAUAUUCUCUUUAGAAAGGAAAGGAUAACUGCUUCAUCUCGGCACCCCGACCCCUAAUAGAUUGAUUCGAUAGACCCCUUCUUCUUCAGAAGAAUCAAAAGAAUAAGAUGGAUCCGGUGUGGUCCAAGCAGAAAAGUAGUUCGAUUUCUCAUAUACUAACUCAGUACUAGUUAAGUAGCAAAAAACAUAGGAGAAUUUUCUCUCUCUUUAUAUAUGAAACCACUUCAGAAAGGAGAGUUGACAGUUGAGGUCUGUUAUUCAAGUCUAGUUCAAUUGUUUAGUCAGUGUAGCGGCAGGAGUCCCCGCACAAAGAUCAGAUAAAUGGGUCGGUCUAUUAGCGAAACACUUAGCUGGUUCUCUUGCCCAGUUACUUGGCGCUAUAUAAAUUCUAUCUGUUCUUAUAUAGGAGGAUGUGACCUGGCAAUCUGAAUGCAGUUAUAGGAGCAGAGUCAGAAGAGACCAGGCAGACAGGUUAUAAGUAGGUAGUCAGCUAAAAGCACUAGGUAGGCGAGAGGGAGAGUUAGUUCGGGUGUGAAGUCCAAUAACAUCCCUAUUCUCAGUACAAAAUAACAUCCCUAUUCUCUGUACCCCUAUUAGUAUUGACUGAGUUCAUGGUCGCUCUAAGACUGAGUUACUGGCCCACUCUACUCGAUGUGUUUGUGUCUCGCAUGUGUGUUGUGUGCCAUACUAGGGUUUGGUUUCAAUCAAUGGGUUUGUUGUGUGCCAGUAGGGGGUGCCUAUACUUACAAGUCAGAAUGAAACUAUUUAAUAGUAAAUACAGAAACAACUCCAAAAAGUAAUAGAAUGAAACAAAGUAGCCAAAGAGCGGAACUAGUGGGUAUAAGCUUCAAGCCAGGGGGCAGCUAGUAAGUAAAGGAAUGGAAGCAGUAGCUGGGAGAUAGAGCCAAGCCAGAGUGAAAAGACUAAGAGAAUGAGUUGGCGUGGGAAAGAAUGGAAUUUGCAGGGUUGAGAUAAGAUCUGAUGCUGCCGAGUGGGGGUUAUCCACUCCUAAUAGCUAGACACACUCUCUUUUCAGAAGCACCAAAAGAAACUCCCCUUUAUGAAUCGACUGACGACUUAAUAUAAGGGCAGCUCUCCCCCCAAAGGUUAGGCACGCUUACCAGGCACCAGUUGAUCUUACGAAAGAUCCAAUUAGGUUUUGACUCAUUGCUUCACACAAGUCAACCUUUCAUUCCUGAUAUAUAUGAAAAAGAUAGAGAUUCGGCAGCAUAGGUUCUACUACUUGCUUAAUUGACUACAAGUUAUCUAUUGACUAAUUGCUUCACACAUGGGUUAUACUACGGAGUGAAAUCAGUAGUUGAGAGUUUAGGCAGUAGAUCCCCUUAAGAGUUGAAUCCUUGUUUGUUGACGUUGAAUGCCCAGUUCCUGUUCUGGUGAUUGUUAAAUACCUUGUUUCAUAUCUAUAGCUUCAUCUGUUCUCUUAUAUAAGUCAGUUAGUGCUUAAGAAUCGGGAAUAGAAGAGAAGAGAAGUUUUAUAAGUAGCUGGGCCCUAGCUGCCCUGGUUAAGUCUAGUAGGGGCUUGGCUGUUGCAUCUAACACUAAGAUCAGAAUUGACCUCAGCAGUGCCUUAUUAGAAUUUCUUCAAGCAGUGCUAGUAAGCCUACCAAUCAGCAGUUACAGAAUUGCACUCCUUCUUUUGAGUCCUGUGUUCGGGGACCCAUGUGUUUCGUUAAAGAAUUCAUUUGAUCUAUCUCUCGCCUGACAAGGAACUACUGGGUCGAUAGAGUGGAAAGGAAAGUUCAAGUUGUUGACGACGAGCGGUGCGGGUGUCAAUUCCAAUAAUGAAUAUAUCAUAAUAAUAGAUGUGGUUUCAGACAAAAGUCAAAGGAGUGGUUAGUUGAAAGAGCAAGAUCAGAGGGAUAGGGGCAAGGCAAGUAGUAAAGGUAUCAACUCUAUGAUAUCAAGUACUUAAGGUAUUAAUUCUCCGAGUGGAUGCCCCAGUUGCAUUCUUGCCCUUACGUAUAUUACUGUCUGCGAGUUGCCAGUUUCCAUAGGUAGAAGAGAUGCUCUAGUCCAGAGGAUAGAUAGGGAAGGAAAUCAAUCAAUAAAUCAAUCCGAGGAAUGGAACUCCCCGAACUGCUGCCGCUACACAGUAGUAGUUCCUUGGCCCGCAUCUAGUAUACGCUUGCUUUCUUAUCUUUAGGAGUCCUGUGCCACUUAUAUAUCUGCCACUUUCGAGCAACACCACCUAGGGCUGCUAAUUCUCUUGUAGGCUUGAUUGGCGGGUUUAGUCUGAAGUUGCUAAGUAGUAGGCUUGGCGGGUAGAGCAGCCUUUUUUCACUCCUAUACGAGUGCUCCUAUACGAGUGGUCGGCUUUUCGCCCUUAUAUUAAGUGCUUGGCAGAAAAUCAAUGACGAGUGGUCGGCUUUUCUACUUACUUGGCAGAAAAUCAAUGAUCAAAUUCGAAAGAAAUGCAAAAAACACGAAAGAGCCAAGCAACUAAGUAAGACGGCCAAGUCACUGCUAGGUUAAUGCUUUACGGAACAAGCAACAACAUCAGCAGUAGAAAGGUGUUCUGUUCGGGUUGAAAGAUCAGGAUCCUUAUAAGAAGUCGCAGAAAGAUCAGGUAAAGCUGUAAUCGACGAAGCGGGAUAGGAAAGUAACGUUUGAGCGGAAUCAUAUCUCACUUUGACUUACUUUGAAGCAUAAGCUGUAUCAUAAGUAGUAAAAGGGAAGGAAGCUGGAUAAGGGUUAGGAAGAAAUUGAUGUUUGACUCGGUCCUCGGCGCACUACAGGAAAGAUUCCUUAGUUUGCUGGGAUUCGCUUACAUAGGUACUUCUCGAUAUUAGGAAGGGGAAUCCAUUUCUUUUAAGGAAGUACUAAACUCGUGUACGGGAAUCGAAGUGAUUAGAACAGAACAGAGCGCGAAUGAAGAAGCACAGACGCUAUUCGUGGACAGAACAACGGGGAAAGAUGGAGGAAUGGUUUACCGACUGUAUCCUUUACAUUCAUUUAUUGCAUACCGUCUUGCUCCUGUUUACCUUACUAUUAGCUGUACAUCUGUUAGCUUUCCUUCUUUCCGAAUGGUUUAUAGUGCAAUUCCCUGCUAUGCUCAAUCAUAGGUUUUUACGAAAUAGUUGUCUGUCUUUUCCUGUACUUAGGUUUAUACGAAAUUCCAUAGUUGUCUUUUUUUCCUGUACGCCGAUGACUUUUUAAUGAAGAAGGGGGCCUGGCCUUGACUACUAUUAAAUGAGGAAGGGCUUGACUACUAUUUCAUAAAGAAAAGGGGGACUGUUCACAUAUUCUACUGGUUUAGCUUACUCACGACUUGAAGAAUGAAUAUCGGAGCCUCACCUCUGAUCGCAUCACCCUUUCACAUAAAGAAUUCCAAUCAUGCGUAUCAAGCACUUGGCAUCGCCAGUAGUAAAGACACUGCACUGAACAAGUGCCUUUCUUUGAAAUCUGACCGGCACUGAUUCUGAUCCCGCUUAUGGAACAAGUAUUGAAACGGACCUUACCGCGGACUUUCGCACUGCAGAUUAUAUACUUGAAAGAACGAAUUGAUGCUGCCCGAGUUGUUUCAUUGAGUGCACUGAUCAUAUAAAGAAGUCACAGCACUCCUUACAUUAAGAACAGAACAAAUAGGCCCGAACUGAUUCACUUUCUUACCCUUAAGCAACACAGUAACCUCCUUUUCCAUUACUUGUUUAUGGCUUAGAGCCAACAACACCCUUUCUGUUAGCGGGUGAAACCUCGGAUUCCUCUUCCGCUAGAAUGACUUUCUAUAUAGAAAUACCCCUAUUCCCUUCUUGUAAAGUCAACUAAUCAUUCAUUGAAUCUAGAGUUUCGAGCACUUUGCAUAGAAGCUAGUAUCGACACUGAGAAAGUGCUUUCUUCGUUGGGAGCUGCACCUCUAAGCUCUAAAACGGGUUCUGCUCCAUCAGUAGACUCUAAUGUUCUCUCUGCUGACUCUAAAGAAUAUGCACCUCAUAUGAUAGAAAUGGGUAAACUAACUCCAUUACUUCCCGGAAGUGUGAGAAUACCGGCACCCCCAAGAGAAGAGAUCAAGUUGAAGCGUUAGCACCCGACCCUAUUGCUCCCUUACUAGAUUGCUCAUGGAAAGUGGAUCAAGAGAAGCGGUUUCGUCUAAAGGAAGGUGGUGUCCAAGCCUAAUACUAUAAAUAAGGGGUGAAAGCUCCUUACGUGGUCCAAGCAAGCUGAACUAAUUAACACACACACAACCACCUCCUGGCUCAUAACUCUAACACACACCCAUCUCCUCUCCUGGCUCUAAACUAAACCUUCUCUUUUGCCUUCCGUCCCAACUCUAUAAAUGUGCUAAGUACAGUACAGAAUACAAGUGGAGCUAGAGCAAACAUGUAUUUCUUAUUUCAAAGCUCCGAGCCCCGCCCGAACCAAUAAAUAGCGUUAGUAGUCACUCUGCAUCUGUCUUUAGAGUAUGGGGUUCCUCUGCCUUUCGUGAGUAAUCUAUAAUAUAGGAUGAACUAGUGGAGUUAUUAAGCAAAGCCCUUUGUUGACUCUUUUCUCACAUUUGUGACUCGGAUCUAUACUAUCAAGCUAAAUGAAAAUGAAUGGACCAAGCAGACGCCAAGUAACGUAGUUAGGCUAAAACUCAUAAUGUUAGUUAGUUCGGUGCCCUUAUGGAGUCCACCAAGCUUAGUAUAGACAAGUAACGUAGUUAGGCCAAACAACUAUGCAAGAUGACAGCUCGCUUAUAAUAGUACUUAAAGCGAUCGAUGAGCUAAACAGAGGAUCCCUAGUUGCUACGAAACAUAACAGGAACAUUACUAAUACUGAAAGACUUCAAUCGAUGAACUCCUUGCUGCAUCGAUGCUCGAGGAAGGAAGAGCGGGAUGAGUGCCAACUAAAACGACUAAUGCUAAUGGAAGCCACUUUCUUGCUCCUGCAACUCUCGAACUAGAGGAAGGAAAGCGCUAUACCCACCCUCGUUCGAGGAAUAGCAUAUCAGGUUCGUUUGGGAAAUCGGGAUUAUCGGGGAGCUUACCUGAUAGGGGAUUCGAUUCAUAUCUAUCACUGACUUCAGACCAACUCGCCGCUAUUCCUAAAGUGUUUGUUAAAGCAGAUCAGGGAAUACUCAAGUAUUUGGAUGAAUGAAUUGAGGUAUGUCUCGAAGUUUGACUGUUUGACACUCUCUCUUUCGAUGUCUUCGAUUCCGUAACCAUUCCAUAAUAAUUGGGUAAGCUGCGGAGGUUUUUUGUAGUAGUAUCCCGAAAUCUCUCGAUAAGAAUUCGGUGCUAUUCGUCUGUCUAUAAAGAGUGGAUCAUGGCCAAAUGAGCAGCAUCAAAGCAUUAAAACGAAGGAAUAAGGAGUCCCCGUCCAACGGAGCACUAAGAAGCAAGUCCUCCUGAGAUGGUAUGCUAAGUAGUAGGUUUAAUAUAUUCAAGUGUGCCGCUACUUUCUCUUAAGGUUCAGAACACGAACAGAAUCUCGACAUCAAUUAGAUCAACAAAACCAAACCAUUGCCUGACGUGAACAGAUGCUUUCUCAUUAUACUGUUAAUACCAUAGAUAUCUUCUUUGUUCUCAAGCGAAUCCUAACUCUUUUCGCAGCUUUCUUUUCUUCUCUUAUUCCAUUUAUUGUUUGUGAUCGAGGGCGGUACACUUUUCCCCAAUAUGAGAGAGUUUUGCAGCUAUAGUCAGAAUGGCAACAGGGCCAGCAGCAUAGGCGAUGAGGGGAACGAACGGAAAGGCAGGCCCACUUGGAUUCGAGGUUUUUCCUUUACACGGGCAUACCCUUUCCUCUACACCGAAAUGAGUUUCCUCUACACCGAAAUGAGUUUCAUGCUAACACAGCAGCGCUGAACUCGUUUUUGCACCUCUAAAUAAUAGCUAUCAACUUCCAGGCCCCGUCUGCUUUCGGCCCGAACCCCAAGCCGGUGAAGUAUUGCCAGAGCCAAGGGAAUGGUCUUUUCUUAUAGAAAGUCUACGUUGGGCUAAAUCCUUUUAUAGACGAUCGUACUUCCUUAUGUGCUAAGAUAUCUUUUUGCGCAGAAUGAAGUGUUACCCAAGCCCCCGAUCCAGAUAUAGAAAGUGUGCCGGAGAAAAGUUCGAAUAAGAGAGGAGUUAGAAUCUGAUUUCUCUCUCUCGGCUUCAGCUGCCUUAUCAUAGGCUAUGGGCCGAAUCGUCUUAUUCCAAUCCCAUAAGGAAAAAAGAGCCGAAUCAUCCAUCUUCCGUUAAGCUUCAAGUACUAGUGCGGAUAUCAAUGUCUUCAUCUCAAGCUUUUUGGGUUGUGGUGGGAUAGAAUCAGAUUAUUAAGUAAGUACCCGAUUCCGGGGAAUAAGGUUGUGCCAGAAUAUAGCUACCCGAUUCAUGAACAGAUGCAUUCUAUACUUAAUGAUAAGAUCUUGCAGAUGCAUUCUAUACUUAAUGAUAAGAUCUAUCUGGUACGCUGAGGGGUUCCCAUGAAGAAUCAGAGCUAAAGUCAGUCCUAUGUCCUAGCAUCGGGCGGGAAAGAAAGCCCUUACUAUGCAAGCACUGUGCCCAGCGUUUAUGAAUCUUCUAUCAGGUUGGAUUUCGACCCUUAUGAACCUGGCACCUCUCUUACAUAAAGCAAUAAAGCAGAAGCUAAGGAAAAGGAAUUGGAUGGUAUUACUCUAUCGUUGGGCCUACUCCAUUUCAAAGGUUAGUGUGCGUAGAGAUUACUUCUGUCAAUAGGCAACUGCAACUCAUGAAUAUAAUCAACCUCACUCCAGUAGACGUCGUAGUUUAGGACAUAGCUACGAGAGAAAAGAAAUAGGACCUUGCGUCUUUACCUGCAAAUGAGGCCCAAGUUCAAUCCGAAUAAGCAGUGAAUUGGCUUUCUCUCUUGAUCGUAGAUAUUGAUGUGUAAGGUAGUUACAGGCCGAAGACAACUACAAUAAGAAACAACAUCAAGUAUAUUUAUGUUGAGCUAUGCCUUAAGAUGUGUUCAGGCGCGGCAGCGAGUUUUAAGCUGCGCGGCCCCUCACAUUCAUUUGGUGCCUUGACUGCCUAGCCCUAUUCUCUGAUAGUUCAAGCUGAGAUAGUGGAAUUAGAUGUCAUGUCAGUUCCUAUAGCAGACGCCUUCUUCCCAAACCCCUUCUUUUCCUCUUAUUCUAUGUUCUUUUCUUGCCUUAGAUCAAUCCCUUCUGCACUUUGUCCUAAAAUGCAUAUUCUCAAGCAGGGGAUUCGUUAAUAGUAAGAGCGCAUUCCUUGUCCCAUUCAAUGCAAUACUUUACUCUUUUCUUCAAGGUUUUGCUUGUAUUUUCAUAGAGUAAGUGUAGUAAUCACUCUAUAGUAAAGGCACUCGAUUAGCUGGCAAAAGCGCUCUUCUUUCCUUGUGAUUUGAUAUAACUCGGUCGAACUAAAUGCUAUUCUUUUGUGCCAAAUGUGGUAAACUCGUGGUAUCGUAUAUAAAGAACGGUUCAAUUCUGGAGUUUUAGGAGUGGCUCGAUCAAACUCUCAAUUUCAGAAGCCAAUUCUUUGGAAGUUGUGAAAGGGCAGAGUUCCAUAUUGACAUUUACUGCGAUAAUGUUGCAAGGGCGUUCGGGUGGAGUUAAAGCGAAAGGAUAUCAAGAGAGUUAUUAGUGGUAUUAUGAAACGUAAACUAACUAAGUACAUGAUAAGCUUGAAUCUUCCUACUCUUGUUAGUGGGGACAGAGCAUCCUAUUGAUUAUCGUCUCGAGCUCCCCCUUUCCGGGUGGACGAGCCGAGUUCGAAAUCACCUCAUCGGAACCCCACUUUAACUCUUCGCUGGUUUGAGAUCUACUUCGUUAGUACCAGUCGGGAAUCGGGAAACCUCAUGAGCGGUACACCUUCCUUAUAAGAAAGAGAUAAGACCUAUUACUCUUGUCCCUUGCUGUGGGACUAGGAGCAGCUAUUGCUAUGUCAUCCCCAACUGUUAGCUCAGUUAGCGCAAAGGGAAUGAAAGCAGUAACUUCCUGAGUUAGCUCUUAAGAUGUUGAAGGAACAAGCUUAGCAGUUAGCUCCGCUCGUGGCAUAGCUCUGAGUAGUAGUAGCGAUCGGUCGCCGUUCACGACUCCGAUGUUAUCGGGUGCAGAUGAACAAGCGGUGUGAUCUUUUCCAAUGAAUACCAGACGAGGAGUCAAUUAUUGUUGAGUGAAAUGACAUGGCACGGAUCUGUUUAAGAUUCAACAAAUAAGAAGCUGGCUCUUGACCUUAUUCCAUAUGCCAUGGUAUCAGCCGUCGGUGGUUUACUAAGUAUUAGCCCUUUCACAAGGGAAUUCUCUUUCUGAAAGAACUCCGAGUGAAGGUGGCUGCUUUGCUUCUCGCCGGGACGGAUUUGACCUUUCAACCAAAAAGGAUUGGAUGCUAUUUCUUCUUUCCGGGCUUCAGCCAGUAGCACUUGUCAAGCUGUAAAGAAAGGGGAGGAAGUAGCAUUUUCCCGGACUUCCAAUCCAAAAGAAGAAGGACCAGGCCCCAAAAUGAUGUAGCCCAAGGAGACGAAUAGUCCAGAAAGGAAAGGCUAUUGGCUCAUUGACUUCCGGUUUACGAUUCAAUUAGUCUCUUUCAUUUUGAGCGAAGAACUAUUAACCAUGCAAGGAAUAGCUAGCUAAAGUAUACAAGGCAAUCCUCAAAGACAGCGGUUGACCUUAAAGAGUUGUCAAGGGCUGGUUACUCUCUUUUCGACUUUUUAAGGAAUGGUUUCCGCUCGAGUCGCUAAGGGCUUUAGCGGGUUCGGGUUACUUUCUUUCUAGUAGUCCUGCCCGGAAGUCCAUUUUCCCUGCCUAGCAACAAAAACAAAGGAAUUGCUGAAACUUGUAUAGUUGCUUGGAGGGCAAUGAACUACUUUCCCGCUGACUUCAUACUAAUACUUUCGCCGCGAAGUCUGUGCUUUGCACUCUUCCUAGAAUAGCUCAAUUCCCUGUUGGUAUUCUAGUAAGUGGUAGUUGGGUUCCGAGUGGUUUUCUUCAGUAUUGCUACCGGUGGCUGGAUCCCUAUAGGGUGGUUAAGUAUUAGAAGUGGCUGUUGGGUCCCCAGUUUCAAGUUCCAGUUUCGUUGGUAUGAGUUUAAUGGCAAGUAGCCUAAUUCUUCCUUUAUAGGUUCUUUCUUAUGAGUUUGCUUAUUAGUUUGAUUCCCGAGUUCAAUUCACUGUUUCCAUUGUAAAUAUGUAUUCUUUGGUUCAUUCUUCCCAGUAGCCGUUCCAGUCUUUCUUUUGCUAGUCUCAAUUACAAGUUUCGAAUUCCAUUCUAUAAGAGUAGGUGGGGCCCCUUUAGUGAUAGAGAAUGACUGUAGUGAUAGAGAAUGACUGUAGUGAUAGAGCACCUUGCAAUCGAGAAUAAGUGCUAAGUAAUAGAAUCGUAGGGUCCAAAAAAGAAAUAGAAUCAUUUGUGAAAAAGUCAGUUUCGGGGCACCUCUUCAGGGAACCUCGCAUCAAAGCAAGAGUCAUAGUCAGAAAAUAGUAAUAAUAAUCAAAGUAGUACGCCCAGAGUCCUAUAGUUGUCGGGCCUCUCUGAUUCUUUCCUCUUAUCUGUUUGUUCGUGAAGUCACUUCGUUCAUAUCAAUGGUUGUUGUGCUAGGGUAGGGCUAGGCUAGCAUCGUUCGUAUCAAUGUGGCCAGAGCUAGAGGUUGGGCAAGCUGAUAGACGAGGUCGUGCAAGCUGAUAGACGAGGUCGUGCAAGCUGAUAGACUCAAAUCAAUCCCUGUUCGCUCAAGCUUAUAGACUCAAAUCCAUCGAGGUCAGGCAAGCUUAUAGACUUCAAUCAAUGCCUGUGCGAUCCUAUUUCGUUAAUCAAUCCCUGUUCGACUUGCCUCUGUAUUGGUUUACUUGACAGCUUUUCCUCUUGGGGCGUUAUUUACUUAUUAUUGGUGUCCAUUUACUGAUAUUUAGAAUAAGAUCUAGCGCAUACAAGCAAUAGAAUACAACUAAGACUAACAAUACUUGAACUGGGAACUAAGAAGCAAAGGAAAAAGUAGCACACUUGAACUCGAAACGGCUACCCUACCCGCGUACCGAGCCACAUUGCAGGAAUUAGCUCACUAUUACAAUAAACGAUUUCAAGAUCUAGGAGUUGUCUUCUCUCUAUCACUCCUUUGGAGGAAAGACCGGUCAUUCUCUAACGCGAGACAGAAAGCAAAUACUUGAACAAAGAAGGUUGGCAGCGAGUCAACAUAUAGGUUAAGGAAUGCUAUUAAGACUCUAUUUAGCUACAGCCCUUAUGGAGCUCCAUUAAGCCAAGCAAGAAGCCAAUUGCGGCCAGUAAGUAUAGUAGCGCGGCUAGCUCAAUAGCUGAUAGAGAUGCAGCCUCAGAAGCAGAAAGAAAGAUAAAGAGACUAAAGGAUGAAAAGCAAGGACCAGGAAACCAAGAAAGAAACCAAAAGAAUAAUAGGCUUGUCAGUAGCUCGCUAAGUCAUUUGCCCUAGAGCCCUAGAUCCUAUUUUCCAUUAGAUUCUUUAGUGGGCAUUCCUCUUAGUAAAAGGGAGAAGAAAGG
rnacentral:lncRNA from 1 species